UUCGUGUAUUUUGUUUUGUCUUUUGAGCGCUGAUUCCCUUUUGUUGGUUUUCUGCGCUUGUCAAAGUUCAAACCUUUCUCUGAUUUGGAUGGAUCUAGUUCCAGUUUCUCAGAAUUUGGUCUUCUGGGGUGUCGAGGAUACUUGAACGUCACUGAUUCUACCUCAAAGGCUCAACGUGCAGGUUGCCUGUUGAAGAAAAUUCUGCAAGUAAUUGAGUUGCGUGUUUCACAUCAAGCAGAAAGCAUAAAAAAUGUAAAAUUAACUUUAUAUGUUCAAUGCCUCCCUAGUAACUGUUUGAGUGAUUGGAACUACAGAGACCCUGCCUGCCUCCUCUCACUUGUUCAAUUCUUGAGGUGAAAUGAAAUUAGAUAAAACACAUAUUUGAAUUUUGGAUGCUUUAUUUGUAAUGGAUAUAGGUAUGAUUGAUCCUUCCCUUGAUUGAGAUAUGUCUGACUGUGGAACUUUGCUGCAGGGAAUAGAAAUGCAUAUGAGUUCUGUUGCUGAGAAGCUUGAACAAAGUAAAUUUGAGGAAAAGAAGAAACUUGAAAAUUAGGAUUUUUUCAGAAUCCAGAUCUGUGAAUUGGAAGAAUAAGGAGCAUACUUACCUAAGUUUUGUCGAUUGCCAAUCUAGAGCUUUUCAGGUGCUGAGCUUUCAAAUGGUAAAGUGGUUGAAACAAAAGUUCUCAAGCGUUGAGAAGAAAGAAUAGCAAUACCAGAAACAAUCUAUUCUAGUAGAGUCUAAGUUGUAUUGCUCCCACGCCUGUGGAACAAUUCUGUUAAUAGUGUCUAUUUAGUGUUAGUGUAUAUAUCACUGUAUAAAACUAAGAUCGAGACAAGUGUAUUCACUCAACUAUAUUGAUAUGUUAGCUGGUUACUUUAAUUACAAUUUA